CUGAGGACCCUACUUUAUUUAUAUAAUGUAAGCACAGGGUGGACACUCGAUAAAUGAACUCACUUGUUCAGGUUGCUUCUCAGAGCCAGCAGUAGAAGUCUCAGGCAACCCAUGCUACUAAGCUUACACUGGGCUGAGGUCCUCCGUUGGUCACGUGCUUCUUUGCUGCGAGGACAUUGGUCUCUUCAUCAGUGGAUUUCUGACUCCUGGCCUGUAUCUUGCAUCAUUUUUCUUUUAAUUUAAAAUUGAGAUAAAAUACAUUGACAACAAGACUCGAAAAUGUAACCUUUUGAAGAUGGUCAAUGUAAAAAUAUCGCAAUAUCAUAUUUGGAAC
rnacentral:lncRNA from 1 species